GACGAACGCUGGCGGCGUGCUUAACACAUGCAAGUCGAACGGAAAGGCCCUGCUUUUGUGGGGUGCUCGAGUGGCGAACGGGUGAGUAACACGUGAGUAACCUGCCCUUGACUUUGGGAUAACUUCAGGAAACUGGGGCUUAUACCGGAUAGGAGCUCCUGCUGCAUGGUGGGGGUUGGAAAGUUUCGGCGGUUGGGGAUGGACUCGCGGCUUAUCAGCUUGUUGGUGGGGUAGUGGCUUACCAAGGCUUUGACGGGUAGCCGGCCUGAGAGGGUGACCGGCCACAUUGGGACUGAGAUACGGCCCAGACUCCUACUGGAGGCAGCAGUGCAGAAUAUUACACAAUGGGCGGAAGCCUGAUGCAGCAACGCCGCGUGCGGGAUGACGGCCUUCGGGUUGUAAACCGCUUUCGCCUGUGACGAAGCGUGAGUGACGGUAAUGGGUAAAGAAGCACCGGCUAACUACGUG
rnacentral:rRNA from 1 species